UAAGGAAUAUUGGUCAAUGGGCGGAAGCCUGAACCAGCCAUGCCGCGUGCAGGAAGACGGCCCUAUGGGUUGUAAACUGCUUUUGUACCGGAAUAAACCCUUUUACGUGUAGGAGGCUGAAUGUACGGUAAGAAUAAGGAUCGGCUAACUCCGUGCCAGCAGCCGCGGUAAUACGGAGGAUCCGAGCGUUAUCCGGAUUUAUUGGGUUUAAAGGGUGCGUAGGCGGCCUGUUAAGUCAGGGGUGAAAGACGGUAGCUCAACUAUCGCAGUGCCCUUGAUACUGAUGGGCUUGAAUGUACUUGAGGUAGGCGGAAUGUGACAAGUAGCGGUGAAAUGCAUAGAUAUGUCACAGAACACCGAUUGCGAAGGCAGCUUACUAAGGUAUGAUUGACGCUGAGGCACGAAAGCGUGGGUAUCAAACAGG
rnacentral:rRNA from 1 species